AUUUAGUACAUUAGAAAACAUAUAGCAAGUUACCAAAUCUAAGAGUUAGAACUGGUCAGACUUCUGCCAAGUUACUUAAGUAAAAGAAUGGGUAACAACAUUAGAAAUUUUAAAAAAGCAUGUAUUCAAAAAAGCUAAAAAAAGGUAGGAAAUAUAGUUUAUAUUAUCACAAAAAACUUUAUUGAAAUGGAUGAUUUUCUAGGAAAUUUAAAAUUACUAAUUUUAAUUUUAGAAUAGUUGAAAAACACAGAAAAUAAAAACAUGUUAAAACAGAUGGUUGUACAGGAAAUUCACUUAAAUGUCUUAAGGAACAGAAAAUGAUCAUGUUAAUAAUCAUAGAUGGAAAACCUACCAAUCAAGCAUAAUCUUUAUAUCAAAAGCUAGCACAAGUGAUGAAUAAAAUUAUAGGUCAAUUUCACAUGUGAACAUAAAUAUGAAAAUGAUUAAAAAAGGGACCCUCCAUUAAAAUUAUAAAAACUAUAUCAUGACCAACAAAGUCUUAGUACUCCAUUUUAAGGAUGGUACCAAAUUAGGAAAUAUAUAAUUAAAACUUAUCACAUCAGGAGGUCACUGGAGAAGAAUCUGUAAUCAUCUACCAAAAAGACAUUUGAUAAAACAUAACAUCCAGUACUGACAAAAACUAUGAUUAAAAUAGGCAUAGAAGGAUAAUUAAUUAUCUCGGUGGUUCUCAACCAGGGACAUUUUUGUCUUGAGGAGACAUUGGCAAUUUCUGGAAACAUUUUCAUUGCCAUGAUUUGAAAAUGGUGCUAUUGAUUGUGAAGAGGCACAGGUCAAGGAUACUCCUUACUAAACAUCUCAAAAUGCACAGGAAAAUGUUUCCCUCCCCCUAUGAAGAAUUACCGAACUCCUAAUAUUGAUGAUACCAAGAUUGAGAGUUGGUUUAUGUGACAGUCAACCUCAUAACUACAAUGAGUACCAUACUAAAAACUGAAAAAUUGCAGGAAUUCUUGUUUCAGCCUUACAAGUCUAGGAUAAUUAUCCAAUGAACAAUAUAAUCAAAGCAAUAAAAAGAAGUGAGGAUUAAGUACUGGAAUGAUCAAAGCAUAGUAUUAUUUUGUGACAAUGUGAAAAAACCCAACAACAUUAUUGGAAAUACUCUUAUGCCAUAUAAAGGAGUUCAAUAAUAUCAAAUCUAAAGUUAGUAUGGGUGGGGGAAUAUAAUAAUACUUUUUCAGAUAAAAAAUUAAUUUAUAAACCCAUGAUGAACAAAAGAGUGAUACAUCAAAAUAAUCAGUUAAAUCAAUGGAAAUAAAGUCAAUAAAUAAGCAUAACUAUAGUAAAAGGGGAUGCACUAAAUAGUACAUAGAAGAAUAGCUUAAUAGCUAGGGAUGUAGCUCAGUGGUGCCAUGCCUGCCUCACAAGUGCAAGGUCCUGAGUUUGAUCUCUGGUACAGGAAAAAAGAAGAAAAGAAAGAAAAAGAAGAAUUUGUUAAAAAGGACAAGAUAUAAUAAUUGUACAUCAUCAUGUGCUUAACAAUAGAGCUUUGGAAAAUAUGAAACAAAACUAAUAGAAAUACAUAAAGAUAGUACAUAUUUGUGGGACAAAUUUCAUACUUCUUGAAGAAAUAAAUAUUUCAAAUAGACAAAACUAACAGUGUAUAGAAUAUAGAUGACAUGACCAAUAGCUUUAUACUAACAAACUUAUAGUGCACAUUCAUUUCAGACACACAUAAAUCAUUCAAACAAAUUGAUAACAGAAGAGAUCAUAAAGGAAAUCACAGCAAAUCUGAAAAAGUAGAAAUUAUAGAGGCUUCUUUAUUCCCUGAAUAAAUGAGAAAAGAACUAGAAGAGAUUAAAUCAAUCACUAUAAAUCAUAUAUAGAAACACUUACCAAAAAAUCUUGCAUUAAUAAGGAAAUGAAAAUUAUACACUACUUAGAAAUAAGCCACUAGAGCAUUAAAUAGUAAAACCUGUGAGAUGUGGCCAAAGCAGUUAUUAAAGGUCAAUUUAUGGACAUAAAUGCAUAAAUUAGAAAAUGAGGGAAAUUGAAAUCAAAUGUACCAAAAUAAUAUUUAGGAUACUAGGAAGAACAACAGAAACAAGAAAAAAAUAUCAAAUCUCCAGAGAGUAGAAGGAAGGACCUAAUGAAGAUUAAAAACUGACAGCAAUAAAAUAAGACCAACAAAGGCAGUGAAAUUGAGAAAAACAUCUUUAAGUUUGUUUAGGAAAAAAGGGUAUAAAUGAAUAGUAUCAUAAAGAGAUAAAAUGGUAUAAUUACAGAUCAGAAGGAAUAGUGUCUUUAUAUCAAUAACUGAGAAAAUAGAUGAAAUACCAAUUUUCUAAAAAAACAUACAAAUUAGCAACAUUAGCUCAAGAUGUAGUAGGCAUCCUAAACGUGCUAUUUCUACUGAUGAUGUGGGAAUGUCAGUUAAAGAUAUUCUUUUAGGAAAACCAUUAAGCUUGGAUGGUUCUAUUAUUUGACUUUAUUACACUUUUAGAAAAUAGAUAAUCAUUAUGUUGUAAAUUGGAAAGUUACCUUCUGAAUUAGUAUAAAUUUGAUAUUACAAUCAUAGCAGAAGCCAAAGCAUUUUUGCUGAUUAUUCUUUCAUGAUAAACAAGAAUCACCUCUUCAAAUAUUUGUUUCCCACAUGAGCUGUAAAAGAAAAAUUAUUAAGGGAAAAAUGUCUAUCAGAAAUCCAUACCAGUGACUAAACUAUGAAGAGUACUUCCAUUCAAAGCAUGACCUAGAGAAGGUUUCCUAUUAGUUCUACAUUGAAUAUUCUAUUGAAGUUCCAACCCCAUGCUAUAUAACAAGAAAAAAUUAAAAAGUCAUGUAGAUAAUGUAAAGAAAGAGAUAAUAGCAUCAUUUUGAUUUUUUUCAGCCAACUUCCCUAAGAAAGGGUAAGAUACAAUCAGUUGAGAAAUCAUUAGAGUUAUUAAGAAAGUUUCAUAUAAUGGCCCAAUACAAAAUAAAUAUAUAAAAAUGGAUAGCUUUUGAUACACAAGUACUAUCUCAUUAGAAAAAGUAAUAGACAAAAUAACCCAAUUUACAUAGCAUGAAAACUACAAAAUAUCUAGAAAAAAACAUUAGAUUAUUGAAAGGCAUAAUAGGCCCAAGUAAGAACCAUCAAGACAUAUUAUAAUCAUAUAUUGGUUCAAGUAGAAUGGUAUCCAUGCUAAAGAUUUGACUAGAGCAGUAUAAUAGUCUGGAAAAAGAUCCCUGUUUAUAUGCAUAUUAUUUUGUGAAAGUAGCAUUUCAUAUUAGUGAGAAAAAGAAUGAAUAAAUAGUAUGAAAAUAUGAGAUACCACUUGGAAAAGAAUCUAUCUAUCAUCUAUCUAUCUAUCUAUCUAUCUAUCUAUCUAUCUAUCUAUCUGUUACGGUACUGGGGAUUAAAACGGGUUUUGGCACGAGUGCACUGAGUUUACAUUUCCAGCCCUUAAAAAAAUUAUUUUGAGGUAGGAUCUGGCUAAGUUGUUCCAGGUUGGGCUGGGAUUUGAGAUCCUCCUGCCUUAGUCUCCCAGUACUUGGAUUAGGGUGUGCACCACUAUACCUUGCUGAAAAAUAUUGUAUUUUUUAAUGUUACUUUACUUGUCAGAGUAAGUUCCAGUGUUUUACAAAAACAAAACCUUUUAGGUUAACUUUUUAAGUUAGUAAAAUAUUAAAUACAUUAGCUAUAGAAGCAAAUAGAAGUCUGUCUCAAUAAAAUUGUAAGGUUCAUAAACAUUGAUCUCCUCGAAAUAGAAAGUAGAAUAUGGCCACUGGAGGCCAGAAUGAGUAGGUGGGAGAGAGAUGGAGGGAGGUUGGACAGUGAGUAUCAAAAUGAAUUUAGUUAGAAGGAAUAAAUUCAAGUGUUUUAUAACUCCAUAGUGUGAUAAAGUUUUAUAUGUGUUUUAUAAAGCACUAGAAGAGAGGAGUUGGAAGUCUACCAGUACAAAGAAAUGAUAAAUGUUUAAAGAGGUUGAAAUGCUAAUUACCCUGGUUUUAUCAUCACAUAUUGUAUCACAUAUCAAAUUGUAACCUUAUACCCCAUAAAUAUGUACAAAAACUUCCAUAUGACAAAAGAUACUAUGAACAAAAUUAAUAGAGUACAUGCUAGUGGAAAUAUUUACAAUAUCUGUAAUAAGCAGAAGAUUAAUAUCUAACAUAUGUAUAAAAUUUGGAAAUAAAAAGUAAAAAUCAUCAACCCAAAAGGAAAAUAAGAAAUGGAUUCUUGUUCUAUUUUUUUCUGCAGUACAGCUUUGCAAUUCUUCCAGGAAAGAUGUGGUGAACUUUGAGUCCUUAAACAAUUUAAAAUGUUUUUCUUUUGCCUUAAGGCUUGACUGAUAUUUUGGAUGGGUAUAGAAAUGUAAAUGUAGUAUAAUUUUCUUUCAAAAUUUGAAGGUGUUGCUCAAAAACAGUCAGAUGUCAGUGUGAUCCUUGUUCUUCUGCAAGUAAACUUUUUUUUCUAAAAAGUUUUUUAAUGUGCUUUCUGAAUUUCAGAGGGAUAACUUUGUAACUUUCUCCUGUUACCCUGCUUGGUAUUUAUGGAUUUUAUUGUUAACUCAAAGACUUUAUUUUCUUCUUCAGGUCUUGAAAAUUUUCAUUUAUUAGUUCUCUGAUUUUUUUUCCUUUCUGCCAGUCUAUUUUUUCCCAUUACCUCUCUGGGAUUUAGAUUUCAGGACUUUUGAAUUUACCUUCCAAGUCUCUUUUGCUAUGUCUCUGUCUCUGUUUUUCCCUUCCUUUCUCCUUUCCUUAGUUAAUUCCUUCCUUCCUUGGUAUAAUUUUGUCCUGUGUUUUAUUUUGGGGAAAUCAAUAUUCUACCUCAUUAAUUUACCCUUCAGCUAUGCCCAUUAGCUAUUUAACCAAGUGUCAUUUUCUUUUAAAACUGAACUGUCAUACUUUUUUGUCUUUGGGAUUUUAAAUUGUUUUUUUUUUUUUUUUGGUACCAGGGAUUGAACUCGGGUCCUUGCACUUGCGUGCCAGGUGGUGAAACCACUGAGCUAAAUCCCGGGCCCUUAAAUUGACAUUUUAAAAAUUAAUUUUAUUGGUACAUUUUAGGUAUACAAUAUAAUAACACUCAUCAUUGGAGAUUUGUACCUUUACAUAAUAUAUCUUGAUUCUUAUUUUAAAUUGAUUUUUGAAAUAGCCUACUUCACAGUCCAAAGAUAUCAUUAUAUUUUGUUAUUACUUUACUUGAAGUUGAAUCCUAUAUACUCUAUUGACUCAAUUGACACUACUGAUAUUUUAAAAAAUGUGUUGAAUAUGGCACCCAUGAACUAGGUUCACAGCGCACUGGGUACCGCUUCGGCCUGCUGUAUCUUGGGCUGUAAUUUCCAUUACUUGUAUGAGUUUGGUGAGAAAGAACUUAUACAACAUUUUAAGCAGAGCAACUUUAUUACAAAUAUAGGCAACAGAUGAUAGUAGAAGGCUAAGGAAAGUUGCUCUGAGAAGACAGAAUCUCACCUGUGUUCCCACCUUGCCAAACAGCUGAGAAACCCUAGAAAUCAGCCCCCUGUGCUUUAUCCCUGGGGUAACAUGACUAGCAGGGAUGAAGCAGUUUCUACGUGUCUCAGAAUGUUGAAUUUCCAGUACAUUCUGCAAUUAUUCUAAAGAACUACAAGCAAGAAAGUUGGGGAAACCGAGUUAGUCCAAGAAAGACCCUCCCCAAAGAAUUAUCCUACAUUCACUGACUGGGAUAGAUUUCCUAAAUGUUCAGUUGUCCUUGGCAAUAUCAUUGUUUUUAUAAUUAAGAACCUCAGUUAAUUUUUUCCAUAAUUUUAGAUGUAUAGCUUGAUCAGUUUUGACAAACGUAUCCAAUUAGGUAAAUAUCAAUACAAUCAAUGGAGACAUUAUUUGUAUUUUGCCAAAUUUCUUUUCUGCUCCUUUUUAGUAAUUCUGCUCCCCAUAUAUUGGCAACCACUUAUCUGUUCAUACUUCCUCUAGUUCUGCCUUUAUACUUCUGAGUCUGGCUUCAUUCGUUUAACUUAAGACUUUGAGCUGCUUCUAUAUUGUUGCAUUUAGAAUUCCAUUGUAUGGAUAUAGUACUACAAUUUGUUAAUGUGUUCACCAGUUGAUGGGCAUUUGGAUUGUUUCAGUUUUUGUGAUUACAAAUAACUGCAUAUGUCUUCAUUUCUCUGGUAAAUAGCUAAGGUGUAGAAUCGCUAGAGCAUAUAGUGAGUAUAUGUUUAACUUUAUGAGAAGCGUUAAUAUUUUCCUACUGACUAUGCUUUACAAAAAACUUUUUAUUUUGAGGUAAUUGUAGAUUCAUGUGCAGUUGUAAGAAAGAAUUCCAUGUUUCUUUUACCCAGUUUUUACAAUAGAAACAUGCUACAUAUCUGUAGUGGAAUAUAACCACCAACAUAUUGACAUUGAACUAAUCAGGAUGCAGGAUAGCUGCAUACCAUGAAAAUCCUCCUGACGUUCUUCUCCAUCCCCAGGGUCCUAGAUCCCACAGUCACUAAUCUAUGCUCCAUGUAUUUGUUAAAGAUGUCCAUAGAGAAUGCUAUAUAAUGGGAUGAUACCAUGUUACACUAACAGACUCAUAGAUAACAUUGUCGGGGAUUUAUCUUUCUUCAUAUAGCAUAAAUUCCUGGAGAUGUACAAAAGUUGUUGUAUGUCAUCAGUUGCUCACUCCUUUUUGUUGCUGAGUAGUUUUCCACAGUUUGCUUAACCAUUCACCUAUCGAGGGGCAUCUGGACUGUUUCCAGUGGGUGAUCACAAAUAAAGCUUCUGUAAACAUAUCUCUACAGGUUUUAUGUGACCAUAAGUUUUCUCUGUCUGGGAUAAAUGCCUGAGAGUACAAUUGCUGGAUCAUAUGGGAGUUAUAUAUUUAGUUUCUUAAAGAAACUGCCAAACUGUUUUUCCAGAGUGCCUUACCAUUUUGUAUUCUCACAAACAAUGCAUAAGUGAUGUAGUUUUUCUGAAUCCUCACUAGCAUUUGGUGGUGUCAUUAGUUUUUAUUUUGGCCAUUCUGAUAGGUGUGUAGAGACCUUUCAUUACAGUUUUAAUUUACAUUUCCUUUGUGGCUAAUGCUGUUGACUGGAUUUGACAUCUGUACACUCUCUUCAAUGAAAUGUCUUUCUGUCUUUUAUUCAUUUUCCAAUUUGGUAAUUUGUAUUUUGACUGUAGAGCUCCAAGGGUUCUUUCUAUAGGUUAGAUGUUAGGACUUUGUUGAAUAUAUUUGUUAGAAAUAUUUUCUCUCAGUCUGCGGCUUGUCUUUUCACCCUCUUGAUAUGAUUUUUUUGAAGAGCAAAAUUUAAAAUUUUGAUGAAGUACGUGUUAUCAAUUUUUUUUCUUUUAUGAUCAUGCUUCUGGUGUCGAGUCCAAGAACAUUUUGCCUAGUCCUAGGUCCUGAAGAUGUUCUUUUAUUUUCUUCCUAAAAGUUUUAUAGCUUUACCUUUUACAUUUAAGUCUGAGACUGUGAUUCAUUUUGAGUACUUUUUAAAAAAAAGUAUAAGACUUGAAUUGGGGCUCAUUUUUUUCCUGUACAAAUAUUUAUUUGUUCUAGCACCACUGAAUUGCUUUACAUCUGUAUCAAAAAACCAGUUAUAUAUAUUUGUGUGGAUCUAUUUCUGGCUUCCUUACUCUGUUUUCUGUGUCUCCCUGUAUCAAUAUCACAAUAUAUUUAUUGCAUUAGUGGUGAAGUAAACUUUGAUGUUGGGUAGAGUGAUUCUUCAUUCUUUUAAAAAGUUUUUCUUUAUUCCUUUUCAAGAUUGUUUUGAGUUUCCUAAGAUUUGUGUUUGUCCAUAUAAACUUUAGAACAAGCUUGUCCAUGUCCAGAAAAAUCCAUUACGCUAGCAUGAUAGAAGUUGCAUCUAAACUGUAAAUUGUUUUGGAGAGAUCUUUACUAUGUUGAACCUUACAAUCCAUGGUACUGGUAUAUCUCUAUAUUUACUUAGGUUCAUUUUGAUUUCAUUCAUUAGUAUUUUAUAAUUUUCAGCAUACAGGUCAUAUACAAGUUUUGUUAAGUUUUUAUCUAAAUGCCAUUUUUUUUCUGGAGAGAUUCCAAGUAAUAUUAUGUUUUAAACUUCAGUUACUUCAUAUCUGGGUGUAAGUGCACAGAAACACAAUUGAGUUUUGUUUGUUUGUCUUUUAUCUUGUGACCUUGCUAACUCAUUCAUUAAUUAUAGGUCUGUUUUUAUGAAUCCCUUUGUAUUUUCUACGUAGAUAAUUACGUUGUUUUCAAAUAAGAAUGAUUUUAUUUUUUCUUUCCAAUUUGUGUUAUUCUCAUUUCCAUAUUGCAGCAGCAGAAUGUCUAGUGCUGUAUUCAAUAAAGGUGGUAAGAGUGACUUUUGCCUCAUUUUUGGCCCUACAGGGAAGUAGUAGGUGUUUUACCAUUAAGUGUGGUGUUAUUAUAGAGUUUUUUUUUUUUUUUCCAGUACUGGGAAUUGAACUCAGGACCUUGUACUUGACAGGCAGGCGUGGCCCCACUGAGUUAAAUCCCUAGCUCUAUUGUAGUGGUUUUUUGUGGAUGCCCCUUAUCAAAUUGAGGUGGUUCCCCUCUAUUCCUAAAUUGCUGAGAAUUUUUGUUCUAAAUGAGUAUUAAAUCUUGUCAAAUGUUUUUGGUUUAUCAAUCUAUAUGAUCAUAUAAUUUUUCUUCUUUAACUUGUUGAUAUGACAAACUGCACUGAUGGAUUCCAGCCUUGCAUACCUGGAAUCAAUUGCCUUUGGCCAUGGGAUAUGAUUAUUUUAAUACAUAAUUAGAUUUGAUUUGCUAAUAUUUUGUUGAAGAUUUUUGUGUCUAAAUUCAUGAGAAGUAUUAGUCUGCAAUUUUUUAUUUUUCUUUUGAAAAGUUUCUUGUAAGGCUUUGGUAUUGGAUAAUACUGGGUCUACAAAAUGGGUUGGGAAAUAUUCUAUCCUUUUCUGUUUCUAGAGUAGAUUAUGUAAAGUCAGUGUUAUUGAUGUUAAUUUUUCUUUAAAUGUUUGGGAGAAUUCUCCAGUAAAACUGUGAGAGCCUGGAGAUCGACUCUUUCCUUCCCUCUCCCUCUCCCCUACCAUUUUCUCUGUUUCUUUCAAAAGGGAAGAUUUUAAAGUAUGAACACAACGUCUACAAUGGUUAUAGGUCUAUUCACGUUAUGUAUUUGAUUUGAUUGAGUUUUGUUUAUGAGUUUGGAAGAAUUGGUCCAUUUCUCUCUCAGUUGUCAAAUUUAUGAGGAAAAAAUUGCUUGUAGUUGUCAUUUUUAAAAUGGUUCCAAGAUCUGUGGAGAUACUCUUUCUUUCAUUCCUGAUACUGGUAGGUCAUAUUUUCCUUCUUUUUAUUUUUGAUUCUUACUACAGGUUUAUUGAUUUUUGUCAAUUCUGUCAAUCUGUUUUUGUUUUAUGGAUUUUCUCUAUUGUUAGCCCACUUUCAUUGAUUUCUUCUUUGUUACUUAUUUAUUUUUCUCUGUUUUAUUUUUCUUUUUGCAUUUCUGUUUUUCUUUAUUCAGGAAGACAUAUAGAUUAUAGAUUUUAGGCCUUUCCUCUUUCCAAUAUAUGAAUUUAGUACUAUAAAAUUUCCUUCUAUCGGUAGUAUUACAUUAGCUGUGUCCCAUAUAGUUUGAUAUGUUGCAUUUUCAUUUUAUUCAGUUAUGUGCUAUUAAAAUUAAUUUCCUUUGAGGCUUUGUCAUUGACUAAUGGGUUAUUUAGAAGUGUGACAUUUAAUUUUCUAUUGUUUAAAGACAUUUCCAUUGUCUUUUUACUUUUUCUCAUGUCCAGUUUGAUUUUGCUAUGGUCAAAAAACAUAUAUAUAAUUUGUAUAAUUUAAAUUCUUUUAUAGUUAUUGAGGUUUGUCUUAUGGUCUUGGUUUAUCUUGGUAAAUCUUUCAUAGGCCUUUGAAAAUGGGGUGCAGUAUUAUAUAUAUAGUUGACUCUUUCUAUCAAUGGGUUCUGCAUCUGUGAAUUUACCCAAACAUGGAUUGAAAAUAUUUAAAAAAAUUGUAUCUGUAUUGAACAUGUGCAGACCCUUUUCUUGUUAUUACCUGAUUAUUCUCCAGACAGUAAAGCAUGGCAAUAAUUUAUAUGACAUUUAUAUUGGAUUAGGUAUUAUAAGAAAUCUAGUUAUGAUCUGAAGUACAAGGGAGGAUAUGUAUACACCUUACAUAAAUUCCAUACCAUUUUAUACAAAACACUGGAGCAUUCAUGAAUUUUGGUGUGUGUAGGAUUCCUGGAACCAUUCCCCCAUGGAUACUAAAGGUCAACUAUAUAUGCUAAUAAGAUCUUGAUGAUCGAUUGCUUUGUUCAGAUCACUACAGUUCUUUCUGAUUUUCUGUGUAGUAGUCCUAUCAGUUGUUGAGGGUGUGAAUUUCCCCAACUAUAACUGUGGAUUAUCUUUUUGUAUAUUCACCUCUAUCAGUUUUUGUUUCAUGUAUUUAGAGCUUUGCUUGUUGUGUACAUAUCUACAAUGUUAUAUCUUCUUGGAUAAUUGAUUUUGUUAUUCAUCCCUUUUUGUCGAGCAAUUUUCUGAGGUCCAUUUUAUUGAUACUAAUAUAACCACUCAUGAUUUUUAGAAAUUAAUAUUUUAUUUUUUUAUCUUCUUAUUUUCAACAUAUUUAUGUUGUUUAAUUUGAAAUAAGUUACUUAUAAAAAGCAUGUGGUUGGGUCAUGAUUAUUUUAGGCACUCAAUCAUUGACUUUUAAUUGGUAUAUUUGGCCACUUUAUUUUAUUUUGUUUUUUCUUUCCUCUUUUUCUCCACACUUGUCUCUGUGUGGGUGACUUAAAAAUGUUUAAGUUUAAAUGUUUAAUGAUCUUGAUUUAUAGUAGUUUUUCAUAUAAAAUUUUGUAUAAUUUUCUUUUUUGUUGCGAUGAAUAUCAGAACAUCAACAUGUGAUUUAUCGCUAAUGUAGACUAUUAUAUCAACAUUUUAUCAACUGAGUAAAUACUGGAAAUUUUACAUUUAAGUCCUUUUAUGAAAUAACCUAACUUUUAAAUAUCAUGUCUUGUAUAUAUUUUUAUUCAGUGCCUUUUGUUUUUUUUUGGUACCGGGGGAUCGAACUCAGGUCCUUGCGCUUGCGAGGCAGGCGGUGGAACCACUGAGCUAAAUCCCCAGCCCUUGUAUAUAUUUUUAAAAAUAGUUUUUGUUGCAAUUGUCAUAUGUGAUUAAAAAAAAACCGUGAAAGAAGCAGGGUAUAUUGUAUUUAGCCACGCUGUGGUCUUUCUAUUUUUUGUUUUCUUCCUUCUUGAUGUUCUGAGAUUUGUUCUAUUGUUGUUUCAUUUCUAUUUGAAGAAUUUCACGUAGACAUACUUUAUGGGUGGGUCUGUUCUUUUAAGUUCUUUUAGUUUCCUUUCCUCUGAGAAUUUAUUUCUCCAUUAUUCCCAAGGGAUAGUUUUGCUGGGAAUGGACUUCUUAGUUAAUAAGUCUUUUAGCAGUUGAAAAAUGUGCUAUGUUUUUCUGGUCUUCGUGAUUUCAAAUGGGAAAUCUUAUGACAUUCAAUUUGGUGUUUUCCUUAGGUAAUAUUUUUAUUUUUCUCUUGCUGAUCUCCAGAUUUUCCUCAGUCUUUCUUUUCAAAAGUUCCAAUAUGUUGUGUCUUCCUCUGACCUAUUUUUGGGUUUAACUCUUCGAGGUUUGUUGCAUUUUUGAAUCCGUGUGCUUAUAUCUUUUGCUAAAUCUGGGAGAUUUUUAGCUAUUUCUUUGAAUGUUCUUUGAGUACCACUCUACUUGUCAUCUUCAGGGACACCAAUGAUGCAUUGUUGAGUCUUUGGUUAUUGUCCACAAGUCUCUGUUAAUUUUUUCAAUUUAGUUUUUUCAUGUUGUUCAGAAUGGGUAGAUUCCAGUGGUCUUUCCUCAGGUUUACUGACUUUCUCUGCCAUCUCUAUUAAAUAUUGAGUUUACCUAGCAAGUUUUGUAUUUCAAUUAUUGAAUUUUCCAUUUCUGUAAUUUAUAUUUCAUCCUUUUAAAUGAGCUGUAUUUAUCUACUCAAUUUUACUGACUGUUCUAACUUUUCAUUUGUUUCAAGACCAUGUGUAAUUUCUUGUGGAACCACUUUUGUGAUGCUUAUUAUUGUCAGUCCAUUUCAAUAUCAGGCUUACUGCAGUAUUGGCAUUUGUGGAUUGUCUUUCAUUCAAGUGGUGAUUUUGAUGGCUGUUGAUAGGAUAAGUGACUUUUGAUUGUAUUCUGAAAAUUUUGGCUUUUAUUUUAGAAGACUCUGGAUCCUAUUUAAACUUUUAUGUGAACAAGCAGUCGGUAUGUUUAGGUUAGGUUUAUUUUACAGGCCCUAGUCUACUUUUAGGGCUGUGGUUUAAUUUUUAGAGUCAAUGUGGUGUUAUUUUGGUACUGGUCCCUGCUUAUUCUUGAAUGGGAAGAAAAAUUUCCCCAGGCUGGGACUUCUGAUAAAUCCUUUUGGAGAAGGGUCUCUUACAUAGACAAAGAACACCUCCCAGACUGGAACUUGGGUGAUGGGUUCCCCAUAUCUGUGGGGGAUGGAGAGAGCUUCUUGGACCAUGUGACUGUUAUGAAAAGAUCCCUUACGACUUCAUAGUGUCUCUGAGUGGUAGAAGAGAAUCUAGACCCUGUGAGGAGAAAGAUUUAUUGUUGGUCUAGGGUUACAUUUUAUGCUAUGAACCCCUUGGUAGUGCCUCUAGGUGGGGGUUGCACAGUGUCUUUGAGUGGUGGGUGGGAGUCUCAGGCCUAACACCUCAGUUAGUUUUUAAUCUUUUGCUGCUGCUGGCCCCCAUGUAUGGAGGGUGGGGAGCCGAGCCAUGUUGAGUGAGCAUUGUCCUAUCUUCCUGGGUUAGACACUCAUGAACAUUGCCUGUUCUCUGAAUAUAUGCUGCUUGACACAUUGGCCACUGGAAAGAAAUAGUUGGGGGCAACCCACCUGGCUUCUCCUAACAAAGCUCUUCUAGAAUAAACAUGCAUUCUCCUAACAUGUUCUGCAGGUGCUCAGGGUGUCCCACCUAAGCCUGGCACUUCUUUGGCCCUCCUCACAUCAUUUUUUGUCGUUCUUUUCUGAGUAUAUGUUUUCUUUCUCAAUCAACUUUCAUCUUCUCUUUAUAUUUCAAGACGUCCUCAUGCCUUUGGGUCUACUAAAGAGACCCCUUUCUGUAUUUCAGGGGAGAGUAGAAGGGUACUUAUGCCAGGUGUCACAUGUCACUUACCGAUGGUGAUACAUUCUGAGAAGUGUGUCAUUAAAUUAUUUUAUAAUAUGAAUAUUAUAGAGUCUACUUACACAAACUUGGAUGAGUAUAGUUUACUGAUACCAAGGCUAUUUAAUAUAGCCACACAUAUGUUGGUUAUAUCUAAUCAGGUCAACAGACACACACACAGAGACACACACACACACAGAGAGAGAGAGAGAGAGGGAGGGAGAGAGAGAGAGGCAGAAAGACGUAGAAACAGAGCAAUAGACUGAAAAUACAAUUUACUGCUAUCAUUGUUAAAAGAUACGCAGUUCAUGUUGGACUGAAAUGUCAUUACAUUUCAGACUUUGAGAGUAGAAGUUUAGCUUCCCAUCUUCACUUAAUCUCUUUUUCAAAGUCUGUUUUCUCAAACUUUCUAGAAUAAACACGCAUUACUUUGAUAUCAGUGAAAUCCAUAAAAUGAUGAAAAAUCUUUCCCAUUUUCUUGGCUCUGUGUUGCACAUUCUGCUAGGGGUACAGGCUCAGUGCCUUCCUCUUGAGGAGCUCACAGUGAGGGGGAAAUGCGUGUUCUUUGGAAAAUGUCCCCCAGGCAGUGGAAGGAAUAUCUAUGCUCUUGGGGGCAUGGAGCUGGGGCUUCCAGCUGCAGAGCUGGGCUCAUCCUCUGAAAGGGUGUGUGCAACUGUUGAAGGUUGCUCCCGAGUCUCACAGGAGGGGCUAAUCCUUCCCCUUCUUCAAAUUGCCAGUGUGUGCAAAAUGCUAACACUACACAUUUAAGUGACGUAUAGAUCAGAACAGAAUCAUAGCUUGAUGACAUAAAUUAAAGUAAUUAUAUUCAUUAGCAUGAUAAAAAAUAUGCAAACAAAUGUUUAUUAAAUGCAACCAUACAUCAACUCCAAAGGCUUUGGCGUUGUUUAUGUCUUUGUUGCUUCAGCAUUUUGUCAAAGGUGGCCUGUCAUGCUGAACUUAAUUGACACUAAUAAAAGCGGAGGGAGGAGGAGCCAGCCCAGAAUGUCAUUUGGCUGUGUAAGCUCAGGAGGGUUGAGGAUUUGCCUCCAGGCCUCACUGAGUCUUUCUGCCACUGGCCCUCACGUAGGCUUGGAGAAGGAAGUCCAGGUCUCCUCAUGUUUAAUGGAGGCAGCACUGCCAACCUUAUCGAGAUAUUUGAGGAUGCACACCCAAGGGUCCAGAGUCCCUUUCUCCUACUAUCAGCACCUGAUCAGAUAAAAGGGACCGUUUUCUGUAAGGGUUAGAUAUGUCUUCCCAGCAGCUGUUGUCCCCUCUCUGGCAAGUGGAAGUGCUUGCCUGUGCUCAAGAUGGGAGUAGCAAGGCUGUGGUACACUUGUGUUGGGUGCUGGCUGGUGAACCUGGCAGGCUGCUCUGACAAGGCAUCUUAUUUUCCCUGAAAGCAUCCGAAUACUACCUAGAAGCCUACUCACAAAAAGAGCAGCCUUAGCUGUGAUGCUCAAGUUCACCGAGGGACUUGCUUUGCCAUGAGAACUGGUAUAUCACAGAUUUGCCUCUGAGCGAAGGCCCUGUCCAAUGGGCACAUGGCCAGUAAUUAUUACCAUUGUUUACCAAGCCCUGAAGAGUGUUUAGAAAGAGCCAGGCUGGAAGCAAUUUGAGCAGUCUGUCUGUCUUCUGUCCAGUGUGUGUUGAGUGUAGCUCAGGUGGAGAGUGAAGACCAUGAGGAAAUGUGGAGAGGGAGAUAUGGACAAUAAGCAAGGCAGAUGGUCUAGGGAAGAGAUCAGAGCUGGUCAUUGCUUUCCCUCAGCUUUAUUUUUCUACCUCUGUGUUAUACUUCAAGUUCUAUGAAAACCUUAGUCAGCCUUAGUCAGGAGGAUUUGGCUCUGGUUGUGGACAGUUUGGAGUAUCAUUCAGUCCCAUCCAUCUUGGGGACCUGUUUAUCUCCUAGUCAAGGGGCAGUUGAGCGACUUACUAUGCCACAUCUUGGAUUUGUCUUUUCCGAUUCUUGUCUCUGAUGACCAUUAGGCUCUCUGUCCAGUUUGACUUUUUGGGUCUCACCAGUGCUCCUACAUCUGCCCUUUACAGGAAAAAGAUGUUGUAGAGAACAAGGCUUCUUCAUCUUUAGAAGAUUCCUUCCAUCUUGAAAAGGAAGUAGAAAUGGAAAUGCUGAGAUUCAGAUGUCUGGAGUCACCAUGACCCCCAGGUAGGGACAGCAGAGGCCCUGACAGUUUACUUGGACUUCUGGGAGCACCUCAGGGAUGACCACUGCAAAUCCUCAUUUCUCCUUCCCUUAAAAAGGGAGCCUGGGUAAUUUAUUUCCAUGGGGAUGGUUUAUAUGGGGAGGAAAAGAACAGAUGUUAAGAAAACAAAGGAAGGCACACCACGACUUUUGUUUCUGAGCCAGUGGUGAUCAAUUUUGUAUACUUUAUUGCCUGGUCCAUGUUUUGGGGAUGGAUAUUUCAAGCCAUUUCAAUCAAAAGUAGGGCUACUCUAGGCUCUAAACAAAGGCCUAGAUUUAUUUUUUUUUUGGCAGCACAAUCCUCAAAGAUUACACUUGCUGCAACAUUUUUAGCCACGUCAACAUUCCUUAGGAAAUACAAAUAUGGGCAUUAUUUCAUGGAGAUGGCACUGGGUAAUAUAAUAAAAUGGAUUUAUUUCAUCUUAAUUUAUUUAAAAUGUGCAUAGACAGAACUGGGAUAAAAUCCAUGAGAUGAAAUAUCUACUUUGCAUGAAUAUAUUGAAAAAUUCAGCCACCUUCUAAGCCAAAAAAAAGAGGCAACUUUUUUUUCUCUCCUCAGAAUAAUAAGAAGAAAAGGUACUCUUUUUAAAACAAGAAAAUACAACCUUGACAGAGAGAAGUGAUUCAUGCCUAAUGGUUCCUGUGAAGGUGUGAGGGGACCUGCCGAUCUGUGCUGUUUUUGGUGGGAGUGCUCUGACUGGGCUCUAAAAUCUUCCUGUUUUUUUGCCAUACCAUGAAAAUAUAAAAG
ensembl:lncRNA